ACAUGCCUUGAGGUGGGGGACAACAGUUGGAAACGACUGCUAAUACCGCAUAAUGUCUACGGACCAAAGGGGGCUUCGGCUCUCGCCUUUAGAUUGGCCCAGGUGGGAUUAGCUAGUUGGUGAGGUAAUGGCUCACCAAGGCGACGAUCCCUAGCUGGUUUGAGAGGAUGAUCAGCCACACUGGGACUGAGACACGGCCCAGACUCCUACGGGAGGCAGCAGUGGGGAAUAUUGCACAAUGGGCGCAAGCCUGAUGCAGCCAUGCCGCGUGUGUGAAGAAGGCCUUCGGGUUGUAAAGUACUUUCAGUCAGGAGGAAAGGUUAACGGUUAAUACCCGUUAGCUGUGACGUUACUGACAGAAGAAGCACCGGCUAACUCCGUGCCAGCAGCCGCGGUAAUACGGAGGGUGCGAGCGUUAAUCGGAAUUACUGGGCGUAAAGCGUACGCAGGCGGUUUGUUAAGCGAGAUGUGAAAGCCCCGGGCUCAACCUGGGAACUGCAUUUCGAACUGGCAAACUAGAGUGUGAUAGAGGGUGGUAGAAUUUCAGGUGUAGCGGUGAAAUGCGUAGAGAUCUGAAGGAAUACCGAUGGCGAAGGCAGCCACCUGGGUCAACACUGACGCUCAUGUACGAAAGCGUGGGGAGCAAACAG
rnacentral:rRNA from 1 species